CGGGUCCCUUCAGUGCUUCCUGGUUGUCUCCUCGUCAGCACAGAUGGAGAAAAUAACAAGACGACCAACAGGCUGAGCUGGACAGAGACCUUUCCUUUCAGCAUCCUGUGAGCCAGCCAGAAUGCGGAACUAAAGUGCGGGGCAGCUGCAUAUCCAGAACAGCCCUUUCAAGGCCCGUGUUCAAACAUCGUUAAGAAUUUCAAGAUGGCGACAGUGGAGCAUUAAACACAGCAUGGGCCCUUCUGGGCGCGGGCCACGUGACUCGUCUCAGCGAGCAGAGGAGGCAGCCUCUGGAGCCCCCCAGUACAUAGUUACACGUUCUAGUUGUGAGUGCCU